UCAUGUGAUUUCCUGUGAGCUGUCACAUUCAGUCAAAGUCAGUCAAUGUGUGGACAAAUUUGACAUCUGCUCCACCAGCCAGAAAGUGAGCCACACCAACAGGACUUGAGGAACAGAACUAUCUCCAUACCAUCCCCUUAGAGGACUUCACUUCAGUGGAGUGUUGCUGUGAGGGGCAAAGCAGGAAAUUCUGAUGAAGAUUGCGGAAGUAACUUUUGCAGAACGUUAAGUUGCAGCGUUGGUGGAGAUGUUUUUCGACUUGUGUUUUACAUGAAGAGAGAAGAUUUGCUGUUAAAGAGGAAGUGCAGGGAGAAAUAAAAUGGAGGAGCACAACACUGUUAACUUCAUGAGACUCCUGUCAGAUGAGAGCACUCGUUCGACUGUGUCGUCGGACUCCUGUGAGUACUAUCAGACAGAGAUAUUUGAUCAGCUGCCCAGCAUCCAGGCCAGCCGGCCCGAGCAGGAUAGACAGUGUCACUGGGAAGCCUCUGAGGCCCACCAGGGUGGCCCACAAGUGGGUGAGAGGAUCAGCCAUGGCCACCUGUCCAGAGGACCCAAAGACAAGGCAUCUACACAGCCACUCAGGAACAUGGUCAUGAGUAUUCAGGGGAAGAGAGACGCCAGGGACAGGAGGAAGAUGCAAGUCAGCAAUAUUGGUUUUUGGGAGUCCUGGAGGCGGAGCCAGAGCAUUAACUGGAAGAGGAGUUGGGAGCAGAUGGGAGGAACUCUAUCAGGCCUGUUGCCAUGGCAGGGCACGCUCCACGUCAUCGCAGGCAGGUUUGGAGUUGGCGUGAAGGCUUACUUUGUUUUCCUUAGAUAUCUGGUUUACGUGAACAUACUUCACUGUGCUAUUAUCUGGGGUUUCAUCCUGGGGCCUACAACAUUUUAUGGCAGGAGCAACAGCAGUGAACCUUUGAAGUUUGGAGGCAAUGACUCCUUUUUGGAUUUCUUCCGGGGAACGGGCUACCUCGAUCGGUCUCCGGCCUUUUUUGGUUUCUAUACUCGUGGCUCCCUGAAUUUUAAAUGCUUGAAUACACCUCUGCUGUACUUCGCUGGAAUUCUCAUCGUCUUCUUCCUCAGUCUCAUCCUAGUGGUCCGUCGAACAACGGUUGGCUACAAGCACACCUGGAUGCUCGGGAAGCGUUACAGUAUGAACGUGAGCUACAAGAUCUUUUGUGGUUGGGACUUCAUCAUCCAGGACCCUGCUGCAGCUACUCUCAAACACAGCUUCAUCAGAAACGAUCUCAAGCUGUUCCUGGAGGAGCAGAGUUUCUCCUUGCGCCAGGCUCAGAGGACACUUGGACAGAGGGUGCGUCUCUUCCUGCUCAGGUCCGCCCUCAACCUGCUCGUUCUGUCUCUGCUGGGUGGUGCCUUCUACCUAAUCCACUUCUCAACAUCAACAACAACAUCAAGUUACAAGAGUGGGCAGCACUGGUUGGUCAGUUUGGUCCUGGAGUACCUCCCUCCCAUCACCAUCACCUUUGUCAACCUGCUCCUCCCUCACAUUUUCCGCAAGAUCUCAUCGUUUGAAGACUACUCUUUCACAAUGCAGGUCAAUGCCACCCUUGUGAGGAGCAUCUUCUUGAAGUUAACCACACUGGGAAUCUACUUAAUUUUCACCUUAACAGAACCUCAGCAAGAUCAUUUUCCAUGCAGGGAGAACAUGUUUGGUAGAGAGAUGUACAAGUUGUGUAUCUUCAACUUCCUCGCCAAUUUCUGCAACGUCUUUCUUUUGAACUACCCCAGGAAGCUGCUGCAGGAGAAGUACACCUUAUCAUUGCUGUCCCGGUUGUUGGGGAAACAACACUUCCUGAUCCCUUUCAACGUGUUAGAUCUGGUGUACAGUCAGACUGUAUUCUGGGUGGGAGUCUACUACUGCCCUCUACUGCCUCUGAUAGGAACUGUCAUACUGAUGGGCACCUUCUACAUCCAAAAGUUCAUGGUCCUGCGGUGCUGUGUGGCAGAGCAGAGGAUGUUUCGAGGCUCCAGCUCCUCUGUUUUAUUUCACUUUAUGUUGCUGCUCGGUCUCAUCAUGGCUGCAACUACAGUGGGAUUCAACCUCUACCAGGAAAAAAGGUCACACAUGACCAAAACAUGUCGUCCUGUGGUCCAUUAGGAAAUGGAGAAACUGUGUUUAAUGUUACAGGAGUGUGUGUGGACAGUCUCCCAAGCCCAGCACAGACCACUCUCCGCUACUUGGCCUCUGAGGCCUUCGCCUUGCCGCUCAUACUAGCUGAGAUUAUAAUCUUAACCUCAUAUGUGUCACGGGGACGAGCCAAUCAGAAGGCCAUCGAGAGACUAAAAGACAUGUUGGUUAUGAGCAGCUCAGAUAAGCGUUUCCUGGUAAAGCAGCAUGCCACAAUGCUCAGACGUCAGAGAACCCCCCACAGAGCCCGUUCUGCAGCCAUCAAAGAGGACGACCCCCCUCAACCAUUCUAAGGACUCCCCCUCACUGGCUACCAACUGAUUAAAGGACCCAACUGUCCGGCCUGUCCAUUCAGAGACUUCCACUU